CCCCUAGAUGUUCUGGGCCGCACGCGCGCUACACUGAACAGUUCAACAAGUCUUAACCUUGGCCGAUAGGUCUGGGUAAUCUUUGAACGCUGUUCGUGAUUGGGAUAGACCUUUGCAAUUAUGGGUCUUCAACGAGGAAUUCCUAGUAAACGCAAGUCAUCAGCUUGCAUUGAUUACGUCCCUGCCCUUUGUACACACCGCCCGUCGCACCUACCGAUUGAAUGGUCCGGUGAAAUCUCGGGACGGCGGCUUGGUCGCUUGCGUCCGACUGCUGAAACUUGAUUAAACCAUAUCAUUUAGAGGAAGGUGANGUCGUNACA
rnacentral:rRNA from 1 species